AGGUGACAACUUCCUGGUUGGGAAAGGAGGAAAACAGUACUUGCAGGAGCAGAAGACCAUCAGAAUGAAGUUUUGACCAUCUUGAUGAGGGAGAAAGCACUGCACUCGGACCACAAAUGAAGGAAGAGACAGUAAAAUCUGUUCAGUGUUUUGGUAGGAAGAUCAGCUGUAUUAGAAAUUAAAAGGCGUGUCUCAAAUAAGGGUAGCACUACCUACCAGUAUUGCUGAAGCAAGGAGGGAAUCUUGCCUCACAUUCCUCACUGUCCAAGGAAGUAUCACUGGAACUAUUCCACUCAAGCAUUUCAGUCACGAUGCAAAUACACCAUUGAAGAUGAAGUUUGGGGUAAGACACCAGACUACCCAGCCUGCUGGCGUAGAAGAAGAGUCUCCAGAUUCAUUCUCAGGCUGCCAUGUCUGGUAGCUACCACAGCUACAACAUGCAACCAUGAACUUUUCAAGAGCCUACAAAACAGUUUGCACCCUGAAAAAGACAAAAAGCAAAAGACUAUGUGGUGUACAAUUUUUUUAAAUUAUAAAAUCAAAAAUUAUAAUUAAGUUCUAAAGCCAGAAAGUUAUUUCAACUUAUCAGUUGCAACAUAAUAUAUAAAUAAAGUUUGAAGUGAGCUGUGUAUUUUAACAUAUUUGAAAUAAUGUGGGCUGGGGUAAGAGUACCCAGGACUCACAAAGGUCUUUUGGAUAGUCACUGUAGAACUGGGCAUGGAUUCAAAUCCUGGCUCAGUCACUGGCUGGUUGGGGACUUGAAAAACUGCCUUCAAUGUCUUAAGCUUUAGUUUACUUUCUAUAACAGGGGAUAAUGAUAUCAAACUUAAAGCAUUAUAAUGAGUAACAAAUGAUUUACUACGUAGAAAUUGCCUAGCAUAAUGCUGACACAUACUGGUUUUUCAAUAACCAUUGUUUCUGUUUUCUUCUAUUUCGGGGAGGCGCUGCUGUUUAUACAGUUCUGAACAUGUAUUUGUGGGUAAGGAUGUUUGGAAUCAGUCACCAAAUAAUACUUUAACACACGGUUGAUCCAUUCAUACUAAUGUUUGCUUCACUCUGUAUAUGUGAUGGUUGCUAUCCUCUCAAACAUUGGGCCCUAAGGAGCUUGUUAGGAAAAUAACGAUCUAUCUAUAGAUGUCUUGACUUCCCAAGGUGGUGCUAACGUAGUAAUAAAAAAAAAGAGCUUUUGCCCGGCUGGGUGCUGUUUACUCAAGGGAUACUCUGUCGUCUCUUCAGAGAAUUUCUCAACGAGCUUCUCCCAUUCUUUCCUUUUCUUUCUUUUGCUGAAACUCCGUGGGAAAAUAAUAGAAUUUGCUUUUGAAAAAGUCAUCCAUCUUCACGAGAGAUACGCUUGACCGUAUGAUUUCUUUUGAAAAUGA